AUGACGGACACACCAGUGGAGGAAUCCCUCUUCCAAAUCAUCCACUGCUACCACGAGUAUGCUGCCCGGGAAGGGGAUGCAGAGACACUGUCGCUGGAGGAACUGAAGGCUCUGCUCAUGGACAAUGUGCCCCGCUUCAUGGAGACCUUGGGCCGGAAGGAGCCGUACUACAUCACACAGUUGUUCCGGGCGGCAGACAAGAACCAGGACAACCAGAUCUGCUUUGAGGAGUUCCUCUACAUCUUGGGCAAGCUGGUGAAGGACUACCACUUGCAGUACCACCGGCAGCUGUGUGCCCAUUACUGCACCCAGCACAGCCUCUAUUAGGGGGGGUGCGGGGGCCUGCCUAGGGAGCAGGUGUGACCUAGCUGUGGGCAGCUGAAGACAGAGCUCUGUGUGUGUGUGUGUGCAGUGAACGCUGUGAGGGAAGAGAAUAAAGCAACUUUGUAAAGACUUCUGGAUGUUGCU
ensembl:lncRNA